UACGGAGGGUGCAAGCGUUAAUCGGAAUUACUGGGCGUAAAGCGUGCGCAGGCGGUUAUAUAAGACAGAUGUGAAAUCCCCGGGCUCAACCUGGGAACUGCAUUUGUGACUGUAUAGCUAGAGUACGGCAGAGGGGGAUGGAAUUCCGCGUGUAGCAGUGAAAUGCGUAGAUAUGCGGAGGAACACCGAUGGCGAAGGCAAUCCCCUGGGCCUGUACUGACGCUCAUGUACGAAAGCGUGGGGAGCAAACAGG
rnacentral:rRNA from 1 species